rnacentral:tRNA from 1 species
GCCGCUUUAGCUCAGGGGUAGAGCAACCGCCUUGUAAGCGGUAGGUCGUCAGUUCGAUUCCGACAAGCGGCACCA